rnacentral:lncRNA from 7 species
CAGGUUCGAUCCGCCUCGGUGCGAAUUUCGGGCUUGGUUAAAAAAUCCUCUUGCUGUGCCCGGCCCGCUCCCGUGUUACGUCCUGCGCGCCACCAUAUGGCUGGACCAUUGUAGAGUGGACGGUGACGGCCCUCUAGUGAUGGGGGACAGGGUUCGGGGAUUUUCUCGGCCGGGACCAUGUUUCGAUCUCUUCUUAAUAUAAUACCGGGAGGACGGUCUUUCCCUGCCCGACCGAGUUUUUUGUUUUGAGGAAUUAUGAUUAAGUGAAAACAUCACCGUUUGAGGGACAAGUUGGCUUCCUAACUAUUUCUAUUAGGGAAUCACAUGUCCAACUCUUGCUGUAUCGCUAAAUUUUGAAUUUAUUGGAAAAUCUGAUUCAAAUUUGAAACACUGAUUCCCCGACUAUAUCGUAGCAUGAUUGAUGGAUUUGUAGACAUGAUCACUCUUGCUACCGACUACGGAGUAAAAAAAAGGGUAUAUGUUGUGUUACCGAUGGCAUUACAAUAGAAUGUUUCAAGCAUUUCCAUUUCAGGUCACUUGUAAAUAGAAGCAAUGCACAAUUCGAGUAGCUAAGUAAUAAUUUCCUGUUCUCAUGCGAGUACAAUGAGUGUGCUAAUGACUUCUCCUGUGGUUUGUGCAGGCUUACAGGAGUACAGGGCGACUAGCAUGGGAGUAGUGCAAUACUUUUGGGAGCAAUAGAUAACGAGGAUCCUGGUCUUUCGAAUAGUAUUGUUAAUGAAAUUUUUCGUUCGGUUGUGUUUCUGAUGUAAUCGUUGUACUGAGUAGACCUUCUGGAUACCGGAUUCUGAGUAGACCUUUGAAUCCUUGAUGGAU